UACAGAGGGUGCAAGCGUUAAUCGGAAUUACUGGGCGUAAAGAGCACGUAGGUGGUUAGGUUAGUCAGAUGUGAAAUCCCCGGGCUUAACCUGGGAACUGCAUUUGAUACUGCCUGGCUAGAGUUUAGUAGAGGGAAGUGGAAUUCCACAUGUAGCGGUGAAAUGCGUAGAGAUGUGGAGGAACACCAGUGGCGAAGGCGGCUUCCUGGACUAAAACUGACACUGAGGUGCGAAAGCGUGGGUAGCAAACAGG
rnacentral:rRNA from 1 species